UCCGGUUGAUCCUGCCGGCAUGCCACUGCUAUCGGGGUCCGACUAAGCCAUGCGAGUCAAGGGGGUGUCCCUCUGGGACACCACCGGCGGACGGCUCAGUAACACGUCGGUAACCUACCCUCGGGAGGGGGAUAACCCCGGGAAACUGGGGCUAAUCCCCCAUAGGCCUGAGGUACUGGAAGGUCCUCAGGCCGAAAGGGGCUCUGCCCGCCCGAGGAUGGGCCGGCGGCCGAUUAGGUAGUUGGUGGGGUAACGGCCCACCAAGCCGAAGAUCGGUACGGGCUGUGAGAGCAGGAGCCCGGAGAUGGACACUGAGACACGGGUCCAGGCCCUACGGGGCGCAGCAGGCGCGAAACCUCCGCAAUGCGGGAAACCGCGACGGGGGGACCCCGAGUGCCGUGGCACCGCCACGGCUUUUCCGGAGUGUAAAAAGCUCCGGGAAUAAG
rnacentral:rRNA from 1 species